UCAGCAUGCACAAUACCAGGACCUCUCCUAAGUGGAAUGCAGCCAUCAUUAAUGGUUUGGAAUACACCUGUGCUUUUCGUACUAUGACAUGUCAACAUGUCUGCCGUGAAAAAGGCAUGGAAAAAGGUCUAUACGUCCAUGGCCAGCCACCUUUGUCGGCAUUUUUCGGACCACUUAGUAUACGGUGGCUAGGUAGUUUUGCUCCUCGGCCACCGUAUGCUAAUUGGUCCAAACUGUAGCAGUAACGUUAGUUCAAGUUCGUUUCAAGUUUUAAAUGUAAAGUUAAUGAAAUAAAGGUGGUUGUACUUUUUCUUCAAACGAUGAGCAGCUUUUGGUAUGGUUUUGCUGGAGGAAAUGUCAUGAAGAAGCUGUUUGAGGCUCUCCAGGGUGGUGGCCUCUCGCUGAUCCUCAUACUCCUGUGGCGUCACCUGCUGGCAGAAGCUUGGUACCCACUGGUUCAAACACCUUGGCCUCCAUCAGAGCCUGGCAGAGUCGAGCAGCUUUGAGGCGAGACACUUCACUUGUGCAAAACACCACAUUCUGCAU